AAUAUUGGUCAAUGGACGCAAGUCUGAACCAGCCACGCCGCGUGAGUGAUGAAGGCCUUCGGGUUGUAAAGCUCUGUGGGGAGGGAAGAAAACGAUCGGUUCGAACAGGGCCGAUCCUUGACGGUACCUCCUUAGCAAGCACCGGCUAACUCUGUGCCAGCAGCCGCGGUAAUACAGAGGGUGCGAACGUUGCUCGGAAUUACUGGGCGUAAAGCGCGUGUAGGCGGAGCCGCAAGUCAGAUGUGAAAUCCCCGGGCUCAACCCGGGAACUGCAUCUGAAACUGCGGUUCUCGAGUGUCGGAGAGGGCGGCGGAAUUCCUGGUGUAGAGGUGAAAUUCGUAGAUAUCAGGAGGAACACCGGUGGCGAAGGCGGCCGCCUGGACGACUACUGACGCUGAGACGCGAAAGCGUGGGGAGCAAAC
rnacentral:rRNA from 1 species